GACGAACGCUGGCGGCGUGCCUAAUACAUGCAAGUAGGACGCAGUUACGAACGGGUGAGUAACGCGUUGGUAACUCUCUAUUAGAGGGGGAUAACUAUUGGAAACGAUAAAUACUACCGCAUAUGAGUAGAUGGACUAUCGUGGUAUUAGCUGGGAGGUGGGGUAAUGGCCUACCUAGGCAACGAUACAUAGCCGACCUUAGAUGGUGAUCGGCCACACUGGGACUGAGACACGGCCCAGACUCCUACGGGAGGCAGCAGUAGGGAAUCUUCGGCAAUGGGGGGAACCCUGACCGAGCAACGCCGCGUGAGUGAAGAAGUUUUUCGGAUCGUAAAGCGCUGUUGUUAAGGAAGCGGUACUUAACCAGAAAGGGACGGCUAACUACGUGCCAGCAGCCGCGGUAAUAC
rnacentral:rRNA from 1 species